UCAAAAAAUGACCUUUUUUAAAGAACCACAUCAGGCUUUGCUUUCAGAAAAAGUGCUAUAAUAUGUGAAUCGGAGCAAACUAGCUGACAGAAAAAUUAUUAAAAAAAAGCCGUUAUAUUUUUCAACGUUUAUACUUACUUACAUUUCGUACAUUUUCCCGUAUUUGCUCUGUUUUUUCAACGGGCUCAAAUUUGUUCAUAAGAAUUAAAUUCACUUGACAGUCGUUCAUUAUCGAGUUACCAUCAAAUCCAAGUUUUUGUACUCAGUAUCAGUUUUACUUUAAAAUGGCUAAUAACAAGUUAGUAAAAGUCCGUACGUACAAUCAAAUGUCAAAUAUUUUAA